GUCCUUUUGAUUUUUAUAUAAGGUCUAACCUGCCCACUGAAUAAAUUUUAAAUGGCCGCAGUAAUUUGACUGUGCAAAGGUAGCAUAAUAAUUAGUUUUUUAAUUUAAAGCUUGUAUGAAAGGUUGGACGAAGUAAAAUCUGUCUCUAUUUAAUUUAAUUUAGAAUUUAACUUUUAAGUCAAAAGGCUUAAAUAUAAUUAAAAGACGAGAAGACCCUAUAGAUCUUUAUAAUUUUAUUAAUAAUUUUAAUUAAGAAUUUUUAAGAUUUUAUUGAUUAAAUUAUUUUAUUGGGGUAAUAUAAAGAUUAAAAUAAUUCUUUUUUUUUAUAAACAUUUAUUUAUGAUAUUAAUGAUCCAAUUAUAUUGAUUAUAAGAUUAAGUUACCUUAGGGAUAACAGCGUAAUUUUUUUAGAGAGUUCUUAUCGAUAAAAAAGUUUGCGACCUCGAUGUUGGAUUAAAGAUUAUUUUAGGUGUAGAAGCUUAAAAAUUUUGGUCUGUUCGACCAUUAAAUCUUUACAUGAUCUGAGUUCAGACCGGCGUAAGCCAGGUCGGUUUCUAUCUUUAAUAAUUUAAAAUAUUUUAGUACGAAAGGACCAAUUAUUUAAUAUAUAUAUAUUUUAAUUUUUUGAAUAUUAUUAA
rnacentral:rRNA from 3 species